ACAGUCAAGCCUUCAGCCUGCAGCUCUGCAGAGGAGCCCAUUCAUCCCUGGAUGCCCAGCUGUUCCCACUUGGUGAUCAGGACUGAGCACAGGCUCACCAUGAAGUUCACAGUGAGCUGGGUUUUCCUUCUAGCUGUAUUAAAAGGUGUCCAGGCUGAGGUGCAGCUGAUGGAGUCCGGCGGUGGCUUGGUGCAGCCUGGGGGGUCCCUGAGACUCUCUUGCGUGGCCUCAGGAUUCACCUUCAGUGACUACUGGAUGAGCUGGAUCCGCCAGGCUCCAGGGAAGGGGCUGGAGUGGAUCUCAGAGAUCAAGGGUGAUAGUAGUACUAUAAACUACAUAGACUCCGUGAAGGGCCGAUUCACCAUCUCCAGAGACAACAGCAAGAACACACUGUAUCUGCAGAUGGGCAGCCUGAGAACGGAGGACACCGCUGUGUAUUACUGUACUACAGCCACAGUGAGAGAAUGUUACUGUGAGCCCAGACAGAAACCUUCCUGUAGGUACCCUCAUGACCAGCAAGGGGCGAUGAGGAUCCAGGGAGCAGAGGCCAGAGCCCCAGAAUCAGAAGCAGUGCCAGGAGCUGGUGUUUGA